rnacentral:lncRNA from 1 species
GAGGAGAAAAGAGCAAAAGCCCUAGAAAAGAUGCAAAACGACGUCGCAAAAGCACACAGAAAAGCAGAAGAAAGAAGGGCAUCAGCUGAGUCCAAGAGAGGGACCAAAGUUGCAAAAAUCCUUGAAAUUGCCAAUUUAAUGAGAGCUGUUGGGAGACCACCUGCUAAACGGUCCUUCUUUUAAAAAAAAAAAAAACAACCCUUUAAUCUUCCCUUCAUAUAAUUCCCAUUAUAUAUGCAUACAUAUAUACACAUACACAUACAUAUAUAUGAAUGCAUGUGAGUACCUUCAUCUUUUCAAUUGUAGGGUACCCCUUUUAUGUAAGAGGGCAUGCAAUCAAGAGUUGCACCAAAUGAAAACUAUAUUAUGUGUACAUGCAUGUAUGUAUGUAUGUAUGGGUUCAUGUUUGAGUGUUUUGAAGUGUGAUGGGAUAAUAUUUGAGGAUUUUGUUAAUGGUGAUAUAUGGGGAUGGAACCCCUUUUUUUUAAUGUUGUACAGUUGAAAAUAUAUUAAUUAUCAGCCUUUUUAUUUGGUUUGGUGCUUUAAUUAGUGGCAAUUAUUGUAGUUUUUUUAAAGCUUAAUUAUGAAAAAUUAAAUAUUAAUCACUUUUUGGCUUCAUUUGCUGCUGAUUCAGAUUUGAAUGUUGUUGAAUGUUGCUUUUCUUCUUUCCCCACUUUUUAUUAGUAUUUCUUUUACUUAUUUAACGACUCUCGUAAAUACCAAAGACUUAAUUAACUCGAGAAAAAAAUAUUAUUUAAAUAUAAAAUCUCUUAACAUUUAUAUAAAUAAAAAUACAACAACAUAUAUACAUGAAUUAUCAAAUUUUAUUCCUUGGUAUUAUUUAUAAAAAAAAUACAUAAAAAAGAAUAAGAUAAUUGUCAAUUAAGUCUUAGUUCGAUUGACAUGAGUAUUAUUGCCAAUGCAGGAGGACUUGGAUUCAAAUGUAUUGAAGCACAUUAUACUCCUAUUUAUAAAGUGGGAAAAGGCUAUGACUAGUGUAAUAAGCCUAUUUUGCCCGGCCUGGGCCCAAAUUAGACAAGCAAAUAGAAUAAGUAUUAGAAUAGUUCAAAAUACAAGCCCAAAUUACUUAAAAUCCACUACCUAAAUUCUACAGACUCAAAUAGCCCAAAUCCAUUUAACCCAUUAUACAAUCCAAAACCCAAAGCCCAACAACCAGACCCAAACUAAACAAGCCCAAUGGCCCAAAGUGUUAAGCACUUUCGGAAGACACAUUAACCCUAGGGUUCCCUUGUGCGUCGCAACCCCAUGUGCUGGCUGCAACGUAUCCACCGCUCGAGGUGGCCUUCCUUGCACCAAAUUGGUAAGCCUCUGUGUCCGUUGACUCCACGCAAACCUGCAAACAAGUAAAAAAGGGGACAAAGCAGAAACGAGGCAAAUAAACAACAAAAGCAGUGCAAAAAGAAGUAUAAAUAUAUUGUAUUUUCGGCUAUAAAAGCCCCAAACCAAACUAAUGUAAGAUUACACACAGAGAUAUUAAUCAAAAAAAAUUCGAAGUUCAAAAAAGGGGUGAUUUAUUUUCUGUUAUGUAUUUUAUUUUUUCAGUAUAGCAUAAAACAAAAAACUUACCACUCUCGUUGUGCCGUCGUCGUGAGUGAGCGUUUGUCGUCCUCGAGGAGAAGUAACCCAUCUCUGCCAAAUGAGAGGGCGCGAAAGGGACGCCCUAAGCCGAAACCCUUUUCCUUUGACGCCCUAAGCCGAAACCCUUUUCCUUUCUUUUUUUUUAAAUAUAUAAAAAGUGAAUCACCCUUUGAUCCAGCCUUUUUUAAAAAAUAAUAAUAAUAAUGUAAUUUUUUUACUUCAUCCACGGCAGAGGCUCAGUGGAGCCUGGCCAGAUUCUGGCCCAUGCCUAGAGAGAAAAGGAGGAAUUCCUUUUUUUUUUAAACGCGGAGCAAAGUGAUUUUUUUCUCAAAAAUUUAGCUUUUAUAGCCUUACAAAUCCGGACCAUUUCUGUGCUUUCUAAAAUGCCCCAAAACGACGUGGUUUUGGGGGGCCGACCUGAGACUUAACCUGCGUUGCCAGGAUCCGCGUGUUUUUUCCCUCAAUAGGCUAUUUACGAUACGGGUGCCUCCACUUUUGAAUUCUUUUUCAAUUUGGUCCGAAUUCUUUUAUUUUCCGUCUUUUUAGAUUGUACCAUCUAAUUUUACUUCCUUGUCAAUUUAGACCCUCAAUGGGCCAUAAAGAAGGGUGCGUUUAGCAGGAUUUGGAAUAUUUUCCUGAUUAGUCCCUCUAUCUUUUCGCGCGUCUCACUUUGGUCCUUUAUUUUAUUUUAUUCUUUAAUUUAUUAUGAUUUACCCUUGCAAUUUUAUUUAAAUUUCUAGUCAAUCCCUUGCGCAUUUAACCUUAGCCUCUCAUGAAGUUUUAUUAUUAUUAUUUACUUAUGUAUUUUUUUAUUUAUUAUUACCACUUCCAACUUUCAUGCAUCUUUAUUAUUUAUUCAUUCAUUUAUUAUUUAUUGUUUUACCUUGUAAUUCAUGUUGUUCAUAUUUAUACAUUCUCGCCCAUUAUUUGCAUAUUUUUUUUACUCAUUAUUUAUUUAUAUUUUACAUGUUACUUAUAUUUAUGCUCGUUAUUAAGCAUCUUUCAUUUUUAGUUUAUUUUAAAUUACUUCAUUUAUUUUAUUAAUAUUGUGAUGCGAUUAUUAAUAUUAAUUAUAAUUAUAUUACUAUUAUUAUAGUGUUCCUUAUUUACUUAUUAUUUAUCGUUUUAACCACAUAUCCAUUUUAAAUUGUUUCAUUAUUGCUAUAUUAAACAUUAGGUUUUUGUAUAUUAUGCCCGAGUAAGUUAAAUAUACAUUAAUUUAAAUAUUGCAUUCGUUUUCCUUGCACAAUACAUAAAAAAGGAAAUUUUUAAAGAAAAACCGAGGCAAUGUUCAUUGUUUUUGGAAUUAAGAGAGCGUGUCCUUAACUUACGGGACAUGGCUUCUUUUUAAAAAUCGAAAUAAUUGAAUAAUUAUUUCAAAAUAUAGAAAGCCAAUAUUCAAAUAACGAUCAAAUGGUGUUCAUUCUUGAUUUUGAGGAUUUAAGACAUUGUGCCCUAACUUACGGGAUAUGAUCAUUCCUUCUUGAUUGACUUGAAGUAAACUCCUUUCAUGAAAAUUAACGUUAAUACGAAGAGGAAUUGUAUUUCAAACUCUUUUCAAGUUUUCAACUUUCUACACUAAGACAUUAAUUAAUCAACUAGGUACCAAUAUUGGGCGUCACGAGGGUGCUAAUCCUUCCUCGUGCGUAACCGACUCUCGAACCCGUUUCCUAAACUUCGUAGACCAAAAACCUUCGUUUUAAUAAAUCAAACCGUUUCUUAAAGCGAUCAAAUUACGAGGUGACCCGAUCACACUUCAUAAAAAAAAGAUUGGUGGUGACUUACAUUUUCGUUUUCAAAAUAAAAGUCGACCUUUUAAAUAAAAUGGUUUCGACAAGUAGUUCUAGGUAUUGUGUCAAAAAGAAUAUAUAUUAAUUGGAUGGAAAAGAAGUGACUAAAAAAUGAAAGAUAAGAUGUGAUUUUUGUUUGAUUGUUUUUUCCCCAAGUCUAAUAUAAGGCCAAGUUCUAUAAAUUUUGGGGUAAAAAGCAAAAAUAUGACAUUUUGGGAGAACUUCGAGGCUUUAUUUGCAAAUAAAAACAACGAAAAAUGACGUGUUUCUGCAAAGACUAAAAAUAUUCAUAAAAGGGGCGGUGGGGGAGAACAUUCUACUUCUUUUUCUUCAAGAUAAUAUUUUAAAAUAUCUCACAUUUAACAACUAUUUUUUUAAUGAAUAUUUGACGAUUAUAACACAUCCAUAUUAAUUUAUAUUUUGAUGUAUUAAUAAAAAUAUAUAAAAUUGAUAUUCUGUCAAUUGAUCAGAUAAUGCUACAAUAAAAUAAUAUUAUUUUAUUUAUUGAUAGUAUAUAAUAUAAUUUUAUUUCAACUAGUUAAUACUGUUAAAAUUUGUAUUAAAUUUAUUAGUAUGACAUUUAAAAAAAAUUUGUAGUAAUGUGUUGAGGUUUGUUUUUUCUAUCCGAUGAUUCUUUUUUAUUUAUAACGUAUUGUCUACUUGAUGUGACUUGUUAGAGGGUAAUUAGGUGUUAUAUAUAUAACUCAAGACGAGACAUUUCAUAUUAGAAUUCACAUCUAAAUAUCAUCAUAUGUGUUCGGUGUGUCUCACCUCUCGAUGUUGCGAGGAGUAUUCAUAUGUCUUUCUCUCCUCAUGUUGUCCUUGUAAUGCAUUCCAUUGCGAGGAGUAUUUACAUGUUUGCCUCGUGAGAUCACGUUACAGGUUAAAUUUUGGAUUAUGAGACUUUUUACAAUACAAUGUAAUAAAAAAAUAGUAUUGAAUUUAAAAUUUAAAAGUAAAAAAAAUUAAAUUCUAAAUUUACAAUUACAUUUAUUAUUAUUAUUAUGGGGAAUUGCUUUGAGAACACGUAACUGUGUACUCAGUCCAAAACGUUACGUCCAUCUGUCUUUUUCUUUAUUUCGAUGUCAUAUGAAAAUGAAUGUUUGCUUAAAUUAUUAAUUAAUUAAUUAAUUAAUCAAAGUUGCUUCUAAGUUUAAUUUUCUGAAAAUAUUAACUAACUGUGUAUCAUGUUUGAAAUAUAUAUAUAUUAAAUCAAUUAAAUUUUUUUAUAAAAAUUAAAUCAAUCGAUUUAAUUGUAAUUAUUUUAUUUAUUUGAUUUUGUAUUUUAUGAAAAAUAAGUAGUUUAAAUUGGUUCAAAAAGCAAAAGUUUAUUCAAAAAAUCAACUUUUACUUUAUUAUUUUUUCUCAAUUUUUUUAAAAAGUGAUGAGAUGUGAACCAUAAAUGAAAAUUUUUAACUUUCUAAUAAAUUUAAAAUUAGUGUUUUCAAGUGCACUAAAAUAUAUUAUCCUCUUAUUUAUAGGUUUGGAAGAAAUUACGAGCAAUUCCAAACAUUAUGUCAAAAAAGAACAGAGAGUUUAUAAUAUUUUUUUACCAUUAUCUUUAAAUAAAAUAUUUUUAAUUAUUAAAUUAACCAAAUCAAAAUAGACCCAACUUAAAUGAGAUUUUCCUUUUAAAAAAUCAAGUUAGAAAAAAAAAUCGAUUUUUUUUCUUUUGAGUUAAAAAGAAAAUCUAAGACUUCAAAAUAUGAUAUGUGGGACCAAUAGUCACAAAGUAUAAAUAAAGUUAAACACUUCCUAAAAUAAUAAUAAUAAAUUAAAUAAAGUUAAGCACUUUUAGGUCACAUAAAUAGUGGAGGUUUGGAAAUAAUGGUGAGGAUAUUGGACGGGAUUCAAGAAAGAAGAACUUGUAGCAGGUAUGCUAUGCCAAAAACACAGAUCAUUCCUCUCGAUCAUUCAAACAGGCAUUGCCUUUUAGCUACAAGCACUUAAUUCUUGACACCUCCGCAAUCCUCAACAAUAUUGACAUCUCUAAUUGCAGUUUUUAUAUUUAUGAUGUGCGGGAUCCAUAUAAAUAUGGAAAGCACAGAGCAUACUCUAUUUAACUCUUUUUUUAACUCAUAGGUUAAACCUUUUCUAGAAAGAAAUCUAAAGAGAAAACGAGAGAAUUUUAGAAAGCCAUAUAUAAAAGCACACUGAUAUUUUUAUUAGGUAGGAAACUUCAUCAUUUUACAAGAUAGAAAACAUUUCCUUUUAUAGGUGAGGAGACGGAAGACAACAAAAUAAUUACAGUGCAUAUGGUACGCAAGGAAUAGUAAAUUUCCUGACACAAGGAAUAGUAAUUAUUCCUGACACAUUCCUAAUACUACAAGAUAAAGAUAAAAGAUUCCUAACAUGAAAAAAUAGUAGACCAAUUAAUAGUACAUAACAUGACAAGCUAAUAUAUAACCGUGACUUCAAACAAAAAUAAAAGUAAAAGUAAAAGCUGACAGUAAAAGAUUCUCUUUUAGCUAUUAGCGUUGGAAUGAGGGAAUUGUGCGCUGUCUAGAGAAUUUCACUGUAAUUGUCUUCAUCUUCAGAUUUUUCUUCUUCAAUCUUAUCUUCUUGUUCAUCUUGAAUUUUUAUCUUGUUUAGAUUGAUUUGACUGCAAUAUCAUGGAUAGACUUAAGACCAUUCUGAUGGAUCUGGAAUAUUUUCAUAAUAUUCCCGAAUGGUUUUUAAGAUCUCAUUAUGAUAAGGUUGAUACUGAGCUGGCCAAGUAUCCCAUGGAGCAGUAACAUCUGGAGGAGGCCAUAUCUCAAAUGGUAUUACCUUGUUUAGCUGACAAAGGAAUUUCUGGAUUUCUCGAUAAUGAAUAUCUGAAUUUCAAAUGUCAUCUAAAUAAACCUUGUGAAUCCAUGCAGUAGGAAAGGAUCCUAAUUGAAUUAACCUGCCACAUUACUUAAAAUAUUAAGGUUUAUAAAAGAUAAUUACCAUAUGGCAUUUUUAUUUGUCUAGAUAAGAUUGUUCUACCAUAUUUAGCCAUUGCGUCAGAGGAUGAAACCAGCUCAUGAAAGUAAAGAAAUUCUAGUGUUCUGGUUCAAUAUUUCCUCAUAUAGCUUUCACCAAAUAAUAAUGAAGAUCUGGAAUAAAAAACUGAAUAGCAAUAUGGCAUAAAUGAGUGAGAUACCAUAAAAACCAUUUUAGCUCAUCUGUUUGUUCAACAAAUGAAAACUUGAUUGGGUGUAUAAAUGGAUAAUCUGGAUGUAAACAUCAUAACUUAAGGAUGAGUCCUCCAAAAUCUUUGAAGACUUGAGUCUGAUAUUCAAACAUCAUUUCUUUGCUUUUUUGGUGAAAGGUUUUUUGUUGAACAAUGUUCAUGACUUCUGGUAGAAAUUCUGGGUUACGGUUAGGAGUAACAGGAUAAGAAGUAGGAAAUGUUGAAGAUGAAGAAGAUGGUCUGUACAUCAUCUUGGGUCUAAGCCAAAAGUAGGUUCUUUUGUAAGUCAAUAUUUCAUUUUUGGGUAUAGAAAGGAAAUCAACAAGUCUAUUUUCCUUUCCUUUGAUAUGUUUGACAUCAAAAGAGAAUUUUGAAAACCAUUCAGCCCAUCUAAGGAGCUAAGAAUGUGGCACAGUUUUUUGUUUGAAUUUGAGCAUUUAAGGAAAAGAAGACAUGUCCAUCUCAACAAGAAAAUGAUAUCCUGUAAGAUAGAAUGCAAAUUUUAAAAUACCUUUUUUGACCGCCAAGAUUUCUUUGAAUGUGGAAUGAUAAUUGAUUUCUGCUUCUGAAAAUCUUCCACUUUUGAAUCCACAGAGAUAUCUUUUCCUUCUUUUUCUUCAAAGAGUAUUACACCCCAGUAUUUAUCACUAGCGUCUGUUUGUAAAAUUUUUUUUCCAUCAGAAGGAAUUUGAAGUAGAGGAAAACCUUACGAUACUUCUUUUAGCUUUUGUACAGCUCUUGUCUAAGAGGAUGACCAUGCAGGGGGCUCUUUCUUAAGCAUUUUCCUUAGAGGAUUAAUAUACUUAGAAACCUUAGGAAUAAAGUCUCUAAAGUAAUUAAAAAUCCCUAAGAAUUGUUGUAAAUAUUUUUUAGACAGGUUUUUAUAUGGAAACUUAAGAAGUUUUUGUGAAAUGUAAAGUCCAGGAGAGUAUUGUCCAUCCUUCAGGUUCAUUUCCAGAAAUUCUAUUUCUGAUUUAUUUAUUUGCAUCUUCUUUUCUGAAAGCAUUAUCCCAUAUUUGAGAACAAGGGACUUGAAUUCUUCUAAGAGUUAAGCAUAAGAAUCUUCAUCCGGAGUGAAAAGUAAUAUAUCAUCAAUGUAGAUUAAAUGGCAUGACCUUCCACUAGAAAUAGGCUCCAUAAUAUGUUGGAAGAUUUUUAUUAUCGCCUUCUGAAAUAAUGAUGGGGCAGUUUUUAACCCAAAUGGCAUGACCUUCCACCGGAAAUUUUUGUUGGGAAUACAAAAUCCUGUUUUUGCUCUAUCAUCAAGGUGAAUCCCUAAUUGCCAAAAUCUUACCUUAAGAUUAAACUCGGAGAAGAUUCUUGUUUUAGCCAGACUGGAGAAAAUAGAAUUUCUGUUUGGCAAUGAAAAGUUAUCAUCCUGGAGAAAAUAAUUAAGAGGUUGGUAAUUAAUAACCAAUUUUAAUUUUCCUCUGACUUGCUCUGAUCUUUUAUUCACAUAGAAAGCUUUACACGCCCAUUGGGAAUUUGAUGGUUCAAUCAGAUCCUGUUGUUAAAGUUUCUUGUAUUCUUGUUAUGCCAGCAGCAAAUGAUCUGGAUUCAUUCCUAUAUGACUGGCUUUUGUAGGAUUGAUGUCUUCAUUUUUCUUGAAUGGAAGGGUAAUGAAGAAUUCAGGAUUUUUCCACAAAAGGUUAGGGCAUUUGAGAAGAAAUUUUGAAUGAGAAUUUGCAGAAGAUUUUUCUAUUAGUUCCUAGAUAAUCUAGAAGAUUUUUUCUGUUUGAAUAGAAAAAAUUUUAGGUGUGGAAACAAAGAGUUGAAUAAGUUUUAAAAACGUACUCCAUCAGGAAGAAUUCUUAAACGUUGAGCUUUUGUGUAGAGGUCAAAACCUACACAAUAGUCUGGGAAGAACUGAAUAGUAAUAGGUUUACUGAUCAAAUGGGCAGCAAAAGGAUGAUCUACAGCAGAAUUAAAAUACCUAACAUGUGGCUUCCACCAUUUUGGAGGUAAAACAUCUGGAUUCGUGAUGGUUUUUGCUGCUCGAGUGUCUAUAAAGGCAAUUAUAGUAACGAGUUUACUAUAUUUGUCUAAAUAGACCUUUACAGGAAUAUGGGGAACUAGUAUGACGCUGUCACAAUUUUUCUGGACUUGAACUUGGGUUAGCAUCAUAUGAACAUCUGAGUAAUUUGAUUCUAAAUCUGGAAUCUAAUCAGGAUAAACAUGAAUUGCACAAAUAGUCUUGUCUGAAGGUUCAUCUUCAAUAGAGUAGACAGAUUCUAUAUCAUCUUCCUUUUGGAUUUUGAUUCCUGCUUGUUGAACCAUCUACGCAAUCUUUUUUGCUCAUUUUUUGUUCUUUGGACAAUCUUUUGAGAAGUGUCCUUUUUUAUUACAGAUGUAGCAUCGGUCAGACUUUGUUGUUAAUCUCUAUUUUUUUCUGAGAUAUCUCCAUUGAGGCUUCUUUCUUCUUUUCUAUUUUGUGUUCUUUGGAAAAGAAUAUCUUUUAAAAUGUCUCUUUUUCUUUUAACGGCAGUCAUAUAUCUUAUCUCUUGAGCACUUAUAUUUCAAGUGGGAUUCAUCACAUGCUCGAUCAAUUCUUUUAUCACAAUAGAGAUAAUCCUUGAAUAUCUUUCUUCUGUUACAAAUGUCUUCUAAGGCAAUAAAAACUUCUUUCUGAAUUUCUCUAAUUGUUAAUUGGAGAAUAUUUCUAUUUUGCCUUUGGAGAGCCUGAUUAACUACAACUUGUAAAGGAUCUAGAAUGGAUGAUAAAAUUACUGGCUUCAAAUUUGAAUUGAGAUUUAAGGCACAAAAUAAUUUAGUCAUUAUUUUGAAGUGCCUUGCUAGAUCUCUCCUGUCAUAUGAACAUCAUUUCCUCUUAUGGAAUUCCCUUUUCUUGAAGGUCAAAAUUUCAUCUAGAUUGCCCACAAAGUGAUGAUGGAUAAUUCGUAUUGGCUGAGCAAGAUCCUAAAGAACCAAUAAUUACAUUUGAUCAUGUUGACUAAUUGAAUUCCACCAAUCUCGCAGCAUACCCGUAAAUCUGGAAACAAACUCCAUGAGAAUGUUGUAAUUACUAUCUUCAGUAAGCUUGUGAGUUUCAAGCCAAUAAUAGAACUCUUGAAUCUUAUCUUGUAAUGACCCGAAUUUUACCGUUACCGAAAAAAUAUAUUUUCGGGUCUCCGUUUCUAAAAAAUGGAUUUGUAAAUAUUUAUUAAAAAUAUUUACGAAGUAAAAUGAGUGGUUAAUUAGAGUUUAAUUAAGUGAAUUUAAAUUUAAUUAAGAGUAAUUAAGUAAAAGGACCAAAUUGAAUAAAGUGUGAAAGUUGAAUUAUAGAUUAAAAGAAAAUAAAAAAAGACUAAAAGGGCAAUUAUACAAAAAGUAUAAAUUGAGGCGGUUUAUCGUGAAGAAAAUCUAAGAUUUUUUUUAUGUUUAGUAUAUUAUUAUAUUAUUAUAUAAUAAAGAUACUUUAUGUUUUAAUUAUAUUAUAUUAUAUUAUAUUAUAUUAUAUAUAUAAACUAAAGAAGCAAAUGAAAGGAAAUAGAAACAGAAUGAAACGAAACAGAGAGCAGGGGAGAAAAAGAAAGAAAGAAUGGGAGAAAAGGGAAAAUUGAAGGUUUGAAGCUUUAAGCUUUAAUAGUCAAUGUGGUACCGGAAAUCUCGGCUAAGAAAGGACAAGACAAAGUCAACGGGAGUUAGCUCGAAAAUUACGGUUAAGUAAAGAUAGUACGUUGAAUCAGCAUCUCAAGACGAUCCCGAAUUCAUUAAGGUAAAGUAUGUUGAGUAUUGAUAAUGACAUGUACCCAGGAUGUUUAAUGAGAGUCAUUUAGGUUGUAAAAGUAUUGAUGAAAUGAGUAAAUUAUGGUUGGCAACGGUAUGUAGUAUGAAUUUUGAAAUUUACUAAAAAUUCGUAGUGAUUCUAAAUUAGUCCCGAAUUGAAUUUACUAUUCAUAUUGGACCGCGAGGGCCCAUUAAAGGGACGACAUCUUAAAACUAGGAUGUGUGUGAAUAUUUAUUUUAAUUAAUGACCAAAAUUGGAUUGUACUGACUGGUAAUGUCUCGUAACCCUGUUCCGGUGACAGUAUAGGGUUAUGGGACAUUACAAAUUAGUGGUAUCAGAGCUAUUCAGGUUUAGCCGAUUCUAGAACUAAUUCGAGCUCGAAAUUGAGUCUAGAGGUACAUGCCAUAAUUGAGUCGAAGUUGAGUCGGGAUCGGAUGCUGAUAUAUUUGUUUGGUACUGUUUUAUAGUGAAAAUGUUAGAGGAAAAUAUCGAUGGUAUUGAUUAUGAAAUGUGUACUGAAGACGAAUAGUCUCGUGAAUUAAAUGAAAACUGAAUCAACAACACUGGGUAUAAACUCAAUGGGUAAUUAAUUACUAAAUAAUGACUGAUGAAAUAAUAGAAAAAGAAAUGAUAAAUAAUUAUUUAGAAUUAUAACUGAUGUUCUUCAGUGAGUAGAAAAAAUUGUAUCUGCUACAGUAUCUAUCCCUCCUGUUUCUUACUCGAUUCCCGAGGUGCUUCAAGGUAUAGAGUUUGUCUGAACGGGUAAGUUAUCUGCUGUUAACGAUCUGUACAUUUAUAUAUAUAUAUAUAUAGUGUGGAUGAAUUGAGAAUUACAGUUGAGAAUGAUCUUGAAAGAACUGAAAUCUGGUUAGAGAAUAUUAUCGGGAUUGUAAAUGAAUUGUUCUGUUCACCGAUUAAAUGUUAGAAGGGUAUGAUAUUUCUGUUAAAAGAUUUAGGUUAUCAGUGGUAGAAAAAUUGAUUAUGUUGUGAUUAAGAAAAGGGUUAUUUGGAAUUUUUCUGAGAUGAGUUCUGAAAGAAAUAUAUAUAUAUCAGUCAGAGAUUUCUUGAUCAGAAACAUACAGAAUUCUUGAAGCUUAAACAGGAUCAUAUAACUGCAACUGUGUAUGAAGGGAAUUUGUUUGAUUAAAUAAAUAUAUCAGAGGGUAUAUUCCGAUAGAAACUGUAUGAUACAAAUGGUUUGAAGAUGGUUUAAAUGAAGACAGAAGCUGAAGAAUAUAGAAUAAGGAAUGGAAUAUGUGUUAGACAUGAUUCUCCUGAUUAUUAUCUUAGUGAUUGCUUGAAGAAAAUUGAAAAAAAUAUUAUUCAGAGUUCAAGAUCGAGUAACGUAGUUAACAGAGGUAGGUUACCCUGUAAUCUCAGAAAUACGAGUGAAAGCCGAAGUGUGACAAAUGACUUCACUGUAAAAUCUGGAGAAUGAACAUCAGCCAGGGUAUAUAUUAAUUGUAUAUGAGAAGAUUUAUCUCUACCGGAUGUCAUUACAGGUACUUUAUUCUUUAUCGACACUAAUAUGAUUAUUUUAAAUUGAUCUUGGUUUGACUAUUCCUAUGAUUACAUAAGUUCAGUAUCUAUUAAAGAUUUGUCUGUUGAGUUUGCUGAAAUUUUUGGAUUGAAGCAUUAAAUUUUUCAGAUUAGUAUUUAUGGGCUGAUAAGAUCUGCAUGAACUGUUGAUAAUGAUACUACUGUUUUUUGAUCGAUUUGAUGUUCUUACUGUUUGAUAUAAUCUCAAUAAUGGAAUGGUUAAUUCUGCAUGAUAUGGUGGCAAAUUAUAAGCAGAAGUAUAAUAUGUUGCAAGAUCAGGAUGAUGAAAUGUUUUGUUGAAUCAGAGAAGAUUGAGCUAAUUGUCUAUUGUGAUAUUGAACAUGCCAACACAGAUAUAUGCCGGAAAGGGGUCAUGGUAUUUACCUUGUUUAUGUAUUGAAUAUUAAAAUAUUUAAGUUAAGGUUUAAAUCAAUGGCAAUAGUGCAAGAGAAUUCUAAUGUGUUUCCAAGAGUUGCCCGAACUACUGUUGAUUGAAGAAGUUGAAUGUGCUAUAGACUUUGUAACUGAAAUGAUAGUGAAAAAUAUAUUUGAAAUCAGAGGUUUUCUAAAACUAGUCGGUUAUUACAGAAAGAUAUAGAAUUGGAAUGAUCUGAUAGACGUUAGCAAGGUUCCGAUUAGUUGAAAGCUCAGUUAACUGAAGCACUAGUUCUGGUUCAGUCUGAAAUCCGAUAAAGAAACUUGUGAUUUACAGGAUAGCAGUGUUUUGAUGCCAAAAAAAAAAGAAGUGAAGUAAUGGUUUAUGUUACGAAAUGUUAGAAUCACAUGGGAAGAAUUAUUUGAUACCUGAUUCGGAAGUGGUAGUUAUUGUUCUUGUAUUAAAAGAUCAAGAUAUGAUAAUUAAUUAUCAUCCGAAAAAGACAAAUGAAUGUAUGUAUAUUCAAAAUGAAAGCUUUGUUUUGUGUUAUGAGCUAUGAACAUCUGACUGUUAUCAUUUGAAGAUGGAUCAAUUUUGGUAGAGAUAAAAAAAAUUAAACCGACUUCUUUACAGCAGAUCUGCGAAGCUCAGAAAUGUAGUAAUGAGUUAUCGGUUAAAUAGAUAUAGUAUACAGAUGAUUUCUGAUUAAACAUUUCUGAUUGGAUAUGAUGGUUGUUUGCUAUUUAGAAAUAAAAGCUGAACAGAGGGAUUCAGAACUUAUACAGGAGAAUUUUCAUGAAAUUAUAGUAGUACUAUGUCUAUGCAUUCUAGAAGAAUAAGAUGUACAGUGAUUUGAGACAGAUGUAUUGAAGACUGGGAAAAGAAAAGCAAUACUUUGAAUUUGCAUAUAAAUGUUUAUAUUAGGUACAGAUAUCUUCAGAACUGUUACAACCAGUGGUGAUAUCAAAAUGGAAAUGGGAUAUAAUUGCUAUGAGUUUGAAUUAGAAUUAUCUCUAUUUUUGAAAAAGAAUAUGCGGAGCUGUUUGAUUCGUGAAAUUGAAGAAAAGUACAAGUAAUUCAAAACAGACUGAAAGCAACUUUUGAUAGACAGAAAUUGUAUGUAGAUUUAAAAUGUCGGGAUUUCGAGCAUUCUGCCAGUGAAGCGGUAUUUCUUAAAGUUUCACAUCGGAAUAAAACUUUGAGAUUGGGAUGAAAUAGGGAAAUAGAAUUCUCGUUCAGUUGGGCCAUGUAAAAUUUCGAAAAAAAAAAGUCAGACUGGUAAUAUAUUAUUGGGUUUUACUUCCAAAAUUACAAGAAAUUUAUAGGGAUUAUCAGGAUUUGGUGCUCAAAAGAUGUAAAUCAGAUCUUUUACAUGUUAUAUCGACAAAGGAUAUUGAGAUUUGACGCAAUCUAUUGUAUGAGAAAGAGCCGGUUGAGAUACUAGCCUGAGCGGUAAUGUCAUAAUAUUGAGGAAACAAUACGGGAACCGAAAGAAACAGUGAGAUCACUGAACCCCCACCUCUCUUUUAGGAAAAUUUCGAGGACGAAAUUUCUUAAGGGGGAGAGAAUUGUAAUGACCCGAAUUUUACCGUUACCGAAAAAGUGUAUUUUCGGGUCUCUGUUUCUAAAAAUUGGAUUCGUAAAUAUUUAUUAAAAAUAUUUACGAAGUAAAAUGAGUAGUUAAUUAGAGUUUAAUUAAGUGAAUUUAAAUUUAAUUAAGAGUAAUUAAGUAAAAGGACCAAAUUGAAUAAAGUGUGAAAGUUGAAUUAUAGAUUAAAAGAAAAUAAAAAGGACUAAAAGGGCAAUUAUACAAAAAGUAUAAAUUGAGGCGGUUUAUCGUGAAGAAAAUCUAAGAUUUUUUUUUAUGUUUAGUAUUUUAUUAUAUUAUUAUAUUAUUAUAUAAUAAAGAUACUUUAUGUUUUAAUUAUAUUAUAUUAUAUUAUAUUAUAUAUAUAAACUAAAGAAACAAAUGAAAGGAAAUAGAAACAGAAUGAAACGAAACAGAGAGCAGGGGAGAAAAAGAAAGAAAGAAGGGGAGAAAAGGGAAAAUUGAAGGUUUGAAGCUUUAAGCUUUAAUAGUCAAUGUGGUACCGGAAAUCUCGGCUAAGAAAGGACAAGACAAAGUCAACGGGAGUUAGCUCGAAAAUUACGGUUAAGUAAAGAUAGUACGUUGAAUCAGCAUCCCAAGACGAUCCCGAAUUCAUUAAGAUAAAGUAUGUUGAGUAUUGAUAAUGGCAUGUACCCAGGAUGUUUAAUGAAAGUCAUUUAGGUUGUAAAAGUAUUGAUGAAAUGAGUAAAUUAUGGUUGGCAACGGUAUGUAGUAUGAAUUUUGCAAUUUACUAAAAAUUCGUAGUGAUUCUAAAUUAGUUCCGAAUUGAAUUUACUAUUCAUAUUGGACCGCGAGGGCCCAUGAAAGGGAUGACAUCUUAAAACUAGGAUGUGUGUGAAUAUUUAUUUUAAUUAAUGACCGAAAUUGGACUGUACUGACUGGUAAUGUCUCGUAACCCUGUUCUGGUGACGGUAUAAGGUUAGGGGAGGUUACAAUCUAGCCAUUUUCCUUGUAGAAUAUCAUCGAGAGUAAAAGUGAUUCGUCCAAUGGAGGGUUUUUAUGUAGAACGUUGUUGUGAAGAAGAUGAGUCUAGUACUUCUUCCAUCUCUUCAUCAUCUGAUUGUUUUACCUUUGGAUGCGUUUGUAAUACAUUUGAAAGAUUCACUUCUUCUAAUUGACUUUCUGAUACUGGUUUUGACGAUGAAUUGGAAUCGAAAUAAUAUGUAUCAGAACUGAUUGUUGAUCUUGAAGUUGUAAAGCUGAGAUUUUUGGACUCAUGGCUUCAUUAUAAUUCUUUAAAAAUUUUGUUGAAGGAUUUUGAUCUUGUUGAAUCAUCAGGGAUUUUGAAGCUUGCUUUGGAGGAGGCAAUCUUGGAGGUAACUUGUCCACAAUUGGUCUUUUUCCAAGUUUAAUUUCAUCUUAAUGAGCUUCUUCCUUUUUUUGCUACCUCAAUUCUUCCAACUUCUUUUUGCUUCCUUUUCUCAGCUUUUUAUUUUUUAAUUUCCAGAAACACUUCAUAAGUGCUUGGUUUAGUUUUUUUUGGACAUUUUGGAAAGGAGAUAUGAACUCCUUCUGUUGGAAAGGUGUUUCGUUGUCUGAUGAAAGAAAUAAUUCAACUGUUUCUAAUUUUAGGGAUGGUGCUGGAAAUUUUCCAGUUUCCUAGAGUAUCUUGAUCUGUUCCUUGAGAUUCUCAAUUUUCUCUUUGAGCCAGAUAAGAAAAGAAAUCUUGGCCCGGUGCUGCUGGUUCUUUUGCCAUGUUAUUUAAUCUCUUUUGGAAUAGAUUGAUAAGAUCCUUCACCAUCUUUGUUUUGUCAUCUACCUUAGCUUCAACUGUUGAAAUCUUUGAAUCAAUUUUCUUUAAAGCAUGAUUCUAAGCUAAGGCAUUUUCAUUCUGCCAAUUUAGAGUAGCUUCUACAGCACUUAUCCUUGCAGGUGCACCAGAAAUGUUUGUUUGGAUUUUUUAAGGAAUUUUUGGUGCAUGUGUAAUUUUUCUCAGUGCAUUCAUCAAGGGGUCCAAAAUCCCCGUCAUAUGGUGUUUUUUCAGAGGGUUGUAACAUACAUAUAGUAGGAGUUAGAUUUUGUUCUGGUAAAGGGUUUUUCUGAACCCAUUUAUUGAUCUUUUUAUAACAAGGUUGAGGAAAAGGUUUUGAUUUUUCCUGAGGUUUUGGCUUUUUAGGAGGUUUUUUAUUAGGUGGUUAAUUUGGAGGUGGGAAGUUGUCUGUUUUUGGAAAAGUUUUUUGAACAGGUGGUGGUAAGGCAGCAGAAUAAUCAACAAGAUAAACAAAUUUGCCAUUGUUCUCGCUGAGUGAACCAAUUGUUGGAUCUCCAUUCAUCUACCUUUCAUUAAAUUCUGAUUGGGUGAAUUUAUUCUUAUUUUUCUUCUUUUCCGGUUUUGAAGUUGAAUAGUCCAUACUAUCAAUCCAUGCAUUGAAUCUAUCAUUACAUAGCCGGCAUGGGCAAUCUAGAUCCCAAAGACAAUGUCCUGUCGUUUUAUCUUUAAAGAUCUACAAAGGUUUUCCUUCAAAAGAAAAACUUUGUAAUAGUUUUCUUUCAGAUCCUGGUUCGCAAAGAUUACAGCAGCAUUCUGGAUCACCUUUAUCGUGAUCGAUUGUUGGAUUUCCCAUAGACUGCAUCAUCAGUUGUGUAGGAAAAUAUUGAAGGACCUUUGGGAUCAUGAAGAUGGUAAUGAUCAAACUUUAUUUCAGGGGUCCCAUCUCAUUUGGAUAAUAUCUGACUCUUAGUGGACUGGAUGGGUUGACUAUGCUCGUGAAGCUUUUCAUAGUUUGUAACCCAUUUUUUCGGGAGAAGCUUGAUUAGUUCCUUUCUCGGUAUCUAUCUUGGAAAACAAACACAACGGGGUUGAUCAUUAAUGUUGACACUUAUAAAAAGAGAAUCUCCUGUUCCAUGCUUAGAGAGAUUGAAAGCACGGUCUUGGAUUCUGUAAACAAUCUGGUAAUGCAACGCAGCCACUAUUUCUGAUGGAACUUGAAGACCUCCAACAAUCUGGAUCUGGACUUGAAGAGCUGAAAACAGAUUUGGAUCUGCUAAAGCCAUCGUAAAGUUGGGGAAAAGAGUAACCGUGACAAGGCCAAGAUUUAAAGUGGCUUCAAUAGUAGCAAAGCAUAUUGGUUUUCAAAAUAUCAGGAAUCCAAUAAGGCAAAUCUUGCGACAGUAGGUUUUUCUUCUGUACCAAGGUAAUUUAAGGCAAGACGAAUUGCUCCAAAAUGAAUAUGAAAGUAACCUGCUCGUUGCCAUUCUUUAGGGAAUUCAAGUGGAAUUUCAAGUGUAACAAAUAGCUCUGAGGAAGAAGCAGAAAUAGGAUGACUAUCAAGCCGUCAGGCUUGAAUAUACUCUUUUGCAUGCUUGGGAGUAUUGUGUAUUAAAGUUUUUAUGGACCUAAUGGGAGAGAAAAUGGGUCUUUUUAUAAGUAGAGUAAGGGUUUUCAGUAGGAAGAUCUGUAAGUUAAGCUUUAUCUUCAUCUCUAAGGUAAUUUAUUUCGUACAAAUAAGAAAUUUUCUUAACAGAAUAAGACCUAUAAGGAAAAUUAGGUAAUGAAAUACAAGUUAAAGAAGUAGAGGGUCUUGUGAGCUGAUUAUCAGACAUAAUAAAGGAUAUUCUCUCUUUAGAUUAUCUGGUCGAGACAUAACUUUUGAAUUUUAAGCAAGUUGAACUUGGCUCGGAUACCAAAUAAUGGAGAACAAAAUCUAAUUCCUGCUAUAUGUAUGUUACAACCCUCUGAAAAAACAUCAUAUGACAAGGACUUUCCACCCCUUGAUGAAUACAUUGAGAAAAAUUACACCCAUGCACCAAAAAUUCCUUUAAAAAUCCAAACAGACAUUUCUGGUGCACCUGCAAAGAUAAGUGCUACAGAAGCCACUCUCAAUUGACAGACUGAAAAUGCCUUCGCUCAAAAUCAUGCUUUAAAGAAGAUUGAUUCAAAGAUUUCAGUAGUUGAAGCUAAGGUAGAUGACAAUACGAAGAUGGUGAAUGAUCUUAUGAAUCUGUUACAAAAGAGAUUAAAUGACGUCGCAAAAGAACGAGCAGCACUGGGCCAAGAUUUCUUUUAUCAUCAGGCAUAAAGAGAAAAAGAAAUUCAGAAUCUCAAGGAACAGAUCAAGACACUUCAGGAAACUGGAAAAAUUCCAGCACCAUCCUCAAGAUCAGAAACAGUUGAAUUAUUUCCUUCAAUCAGACAAAGGAACACCCUUCAAGCAAAAGGAGUUCAUAUCUACUUUAAUAUAAUUAUUAAUUAUUAUCGUUAUUUUAAGUUUUUAUUUAAUUCAUUAAUUGUAAAAUUUUUAAACAUGUUCUGGAAACAUAUGUUAAAAAUUAGUUUAAAAAUAAAUAUUAUAAAAUUGAUUAUUUUGCAUAAUUAAAAAUUUUGAAGUAUUAUUAUUAGGGAAUAAGAUAAGCUUGAUUGUGUCACGUGAGAUGUGGGCAUAUUGAAAACCUAAAAAAUAUAUUUUAUAAAAAUAUUAAAAUUAAUUGGUUGUACACGUGGUGCCCGUUUAAUAAAUAUAACGUCAAUGAUUGCAUGGCGGGAACAUAAAUAGCUUGUCUGACGGGACCUGGAGCCUAUGGAUAAAUGACACGUGGGAAUUAAAUAGUAAUUUGUUUAUUACGUGUGACACGUGUGUAUAUUUAUCAAUGGUCUACACGCCUUUACCUACUGUUAGUGGGCUCCUCGUCAAAUCUCUUUUGCUGACACUGAUUAACGUUUAAUUAAACUCAGUAAUUACAUGAAUUUUAAAAGAAAUUAAAAUACUGAGUAUUUUCAAUUAUAUAUAUAAUUAUACAAAUUAUUAUAUAUUUAUUUUUUAAAAACAUUUACCAUAAGCAUGUAAAGUUUGCUAAAUAUUAUUUUAAAAUUUUUUUAUGUAAUAAAAGGUCAACAUAAAUUAUGUUCUAUUUUUAUCAAAUAAAUUCAUUUACAUUUUAACAUAUAUGAGAUUAAAAAUAUAACAAUUUAUGUUUUAAAAAAUAAAAGUAAAAUGAUUUAGUGUAACUUUUUUAUUUAUCAUCAAAUAAUUAUAUUUAAUGCAAGGUUUUUAAUCAAAUUUAAUUUUUUUAUGAAUUUGUUAAAUAUUAGUAAUAAUAAAAAUUAAUUUUUAAAUAUUUACAUUCAAAUAACUAAUCGAAACUAAAAUUAUAUUGAUAAUUAAAUCACAAUUAUAAAUCACAAUUAUAUUGAUAAUUAAAAUAUAUUUAAAAUUAAAUUAAAUCUGAAAAUUUAACCAUGAGGAGAUUAUUUUCAUAGCCAUAAUUAAUAGAACAACUAAUUUUCAUUGGUUAAAUUUCAUCAACCACUUAAUUAAUAAUAUAUGUAAUAAUUUUUUAUCGAUUAAGCUUUAAAUCAGUUAAUAUCGUUAUUGUUGUAACAUGUAAAGACGUAUAAUCAUUUUUUAUUAUUGAAUUAUUGUCAGAGUCAGGAGCUACGGAACGAACUAUUUUAGUAUUAUAAAUAUAUAUAAAUUGUGUUGAUGAAAUUGUUUUAACAAAAUAAUAAUUUGAAAUAAAUAGUAACAAUUACAACUAUUACAUGAUAUAUAUCGGAGGUGCUCAUGGUCAGGUCGAGUCGAGCUAGACCUAAGCAUGAUAUUAAUAUACUUUAUGCUUGUCCAAGUCCUACCCGAAAUAUAGGCCUAAAAUUUUGUCCAAACAUGUCCAUAUUUGCAAAAGAUUAAUCAAAACCCAUCACAACAUACAAAGAAAUAUGAUCGAAACCAUCACAACAUAAAUACACAAAACACAUUUUGAACAUUUUCUAACUCUAACUGUGAAGUUAGUCAAUACAUUAUUGGUCUUAUACUCUCUAUAAUCUCAUAUGACCCGAUAAUUACAGACUCAACUUCCUAGUUACCUUAAAACUCUAGAACAUAGAAAUGGAACAUAUUUUCAAUAUUCUGAAUCACUUUUUAAACUGACCAUCAGUUUGAAACUGAAAUACAAUGCCGAUAAUACAAUCACUUAUUCAGAGCUUCCAGUAGUUUUCUCCAAAUUCACGAUAUAACCCUCGAAUUUUUACCCGAUUAAUAAAGACUAACACUCCUCGCAAUUGGAUAAUCUCUGAAACAUAUACUCAUUCAAUCCAUCAUGGGUCAAUCAAUCAAUAACAGUCCAGGUAAUCUCAAUCUUUUUCAGAGAUAGGGAAAGUCCCGAUAUGAACCUUACAAAAACUUUAUCUCAUUCUACUUCAGUAUUAUCACUGGUUGUAGUAAUCUUAAAAACAUUGUAUAUUUGGCUUAGCCUGUUGAAAAAUCAAAUACCUGAACACGGAUUCAGAAAUGUCGCAUUUCAUAGCUGACUACCAUUACAUCCAUAUCAAAUCACCAUACAUCUUGUUACUUUCUGAAUGAACAGACAAAUUACCGUAAUGAGCUUCGUACCAAAAAAAAAGUUCCCAUAUAGCAAGGGAUUCCUCGGUAAGCAAACUUUUUCUUAGAAUGUGGGUUCGUUUUUAAACUCUGAAUCGGAAGUUGACUUACACUGUACUCAAUUACUUUCAAUUUUCUAAAUGUCAUUAUACAAGAUCAAUUAAGUAAUCAUCGCUCGCAAAGUAAACAAAAACUUCACUACUCAGAGCAUACAUAUCUACAUUUACGCCUCUCAAAGGUUAAUCGAUAGCUACUCACAAUCUUUCAAUAGCUCAAAUCAUCAUUAUUGUCUUAAAUUCAAAUUUUUUUGUUAUAUUCGACACUUUAAACUCUUCGAAUCAGGAAAUAUGUAGCAUUUUUUUUCCAGACUACCCGUCUAUUUACCCAUGAAUACAUAAAAUUUAUUUCCAAACUCGAGGAUCGAUUUACAUGCAUAUAUCUCAAUUUACCUUCCAACUGAAUAACUUGUUUUGAUUAAAACAUCUGAUUCAAUCUUAAUUGUCAAACAAUAGUAACCUUUCAAAACAAUUUCCUCUUCAAGUUGUUAGAACAACUCAAAAACAUAAUCUUUCAUAAUUUCUGUAACAUGCUACUCAAAAAGUUUUACUAACGGCAUUAGCUCAAACAAAACACCACAUCUCGAUUUAUGUCAUUGACCUUAAUCAAUAUUACCUAAGAAAAGAAAAUCAAUAUACAAAUUUAGCUUGAACAGUCACAAUCCACACUUUGUCUAUGUCAAUCUUUUCAAGAAAACUCAAAAAAUUCCUGAUAACACAUUCUUUAGAUAUCAUACCUGGAUGAGUCGAUUGUCCUCUUCUUUAACUGUGGCAUUGCUUAAUUUGAAUGAUUUUUAGAACAAUCUAUCAUCUCUUCCAGAACCAUUUUUACUUGCUAAACCAUUCUUAUCUCUGACCACAUUAUUAAUUGUUCCACUUCUUGAACUUUUUUGUUUCACACUUGUGAACUUAUUCGAUAUAAAUUUCAUAAACUUUAUUAUAUAACACCAUAAUAAUAGGGGGUGAAGAUUAUAAAGCCUCGACUUUUAACUCUUAUAUAUGUACACACAUCUAAAAUAACAUUUAUCAACAACAUAACAUCAUAUAAAUACCAAAAAACAUAGACGCGCUUAUCACAAGAUAAACUUUUAUUUCAUUUUCCUUUUCCCAUAUUUCUCGAUUUAUGAUUAUUUUAUUUCGUACAUCAUCACAUCCAUAUAGUGAACUCUUUUUCAUACCUUUUCAAGUUUCGACUCAUCAUAAACACAUUCUUACUCAGACACCUUAGUGUCACUUUCAACACUUUCUGAAAUAACUCGAUUGAAAAGUAUUUUUGUCUAUAAGUAAAAAAAAUUAGAUCGGAUCAUACACAUCACUCUAUCACAGAUUUAUAUGGCAUGUAUUUCUAAACACUUUACAUAUCUCAUUUGAUCCGAGAAUCGGCUAAACCGAAGCUCUGAUACCAAUAAAUGUAACACCCUCUAUCCGUAUUCGUUGCCGGAAUAGAGUACGAGACAUUACCAAGGAGUACGAAACACUUACAGAUAAUUUAAAUAUAUUUUCAUAACAACUUGUCUCGAUUUCAUACUAUUUCAUAUUUAAGCUUUACUCAACAAAGUAUUUGAAAUAUCAUCUUUAUGCAAAUAGCACACAUGAGGUACAUAAUUCCAUAAUUAUGAAUGAACACAUUUAUCAAACAUAUUCCAUAUUCAUAUAUGAAUGUCUCAUGUCUCCAUAUAUCAAUAACCGUCAUUUUUAUUGUUUUUCAGAUAAAUAUGUGUAACAAUUCAUAAGCAUGCAAUUCACUGUUUCUUCCUGUCAAUCACAAUUUCAAAUGAAAAAUUCAUGUGAAUGAGCUCAACAUCAUUAGCUGUUUAAAUUCUGUCACUUUGAUUCACAUACUCAUAAUUUACUAACAUAACCUAUCAAACACAAUCUCUGAAUGAUGAAAUCACAUAAUUGAGCUCAAUUUCAAUGUUCACUAAAAUUUGUCAUAUAAAUUCAAAUAAUAAUUACCAAAACUUUGUCAAAUUGGAGAACGUCUUACGUUCAUUGGUCUGCACCGGUAUGCACUGAAUUUCAUUGAUAAUCACUGAUGCCAUAACAUAACUAUGGUCUUUUCACUAAAAUGUCAUAGCUCAACUAUGGUCUUACAUCUUCACUAUCAUUAUGCCAUGGUGAAACUAUAGACUUAUCCGUCAAUUCAUCACUUUUUACCAAAAUGCCAUAGCCCAGCUAUGAUCUUACACGGAAAUCACUUGUCACUUGUAACCGAAGCUACCACUAUUCAUUGAUAGGGUAGCCGGAGCUACCACUUCUCACUGAUCAAAUUACUUAUUAUCAAAUUAGGAAAGGUCUUAUGAAAUUGAGUACGUCAUUGCUUAUUGCCACAAUUCACAACUCAGUAUGGUUUUCCUCAUUGAAAUACCAUACCUACAUUUCACAACUCGGUAUGGGAAAUGCCAUACCUACGUUUCACAACUCAGUAUGGUCAAUACCAUACCUAGGUUUCACAACUCGGUAUAGUUAAUACCAUACCUACGUUUCACAACUUAGUAUGGAUGAUACCGUACCUACGUUUCACAACUCAGUAUGGAUGAUACCGUACCUACGUUUCACAACUCAGUAUGAAUGAUACCGUACCUACGUUUCACAACUCAGUAUGGAUGAUACCGUACCUAUGUUUCACAACUCAGUAUGGUUAAUACCAUACUUACGUUUCACAACUCAGUAUGGUUAAUACCAUACCUACGUUUCACACUUUGCCAUGGACCAACCAUGGUCUUUUCCGUCAAUUCAUCUUGUCACUGAACUGAAGUGCUCAAUUUGAUCAUUUAUUCAAUUUUCAUGCUUUUACAUUAUUCACGAUUUUAUCAUCAAUAUAUAUGAAAUAAUACAUCAUGAAAUUCAUAAAAUUAACAAAUGGUCACUAAAAUUUAGUUAUAUAAACUCACAAGUUCGAUUUUUGUAUAUAACGAUAAUCAUAAUUUCAUAAUAAAUAUUCCAAAUAAAACAUUAUAUCAUUUCUAAUUCAACAUUUAUCGAUUAUAAUAGGGCAUGUGAUCAAUUUAUACACAAGUCAUUCAUAUAUAUAUGUUUUUCCUCCUCCUCUCCAUCCCCAUCCUUAGCAUAAAUAACACACUUGUAAGUAACAUUAUCCAUAAUUUUAACUAUUUACUUAUGUGAAUAUUCAAGCUAUCCAUCCAUGUCAUAGUCACUAAAUUAUUUUUAUCUUGAGCUACAGAACUCCAAAUUAAGAUCCACUAAUUUUUUUUGAAACUAGACUCACGUAUCUUCUUACCAUAAAAUUUUCAUAAUUUUUUGUUUAACCAAUAAGUACAGUUUAUUCUUUAAAGUCACCCCCUGUUCUGCUGUCUGACAGUUCCGACCCUUCUUCACUAAAAAUUAAUUAUCUCCUCCUACAAGAUUCGGAUGAUGUCCUUGUUUAUUUCUAUUGAAAAUAGACUAAUUCAGAAUUCUAAACAUAUAAAUUUAAGCCCUGAUUAUUUUUAUCCAAUUUUUUGAUGAUUUUACAAUGUCAGAAAAGGAGAACCCAAAAUCAUACUGACCUUGUCUCAAAAAAUUUAUUAUAUCUCAUGAUUUACAAUUCAAUUGCUUACAUCAUUUCUUCUAUAAGAAACUAGACUCUAUAAUCUUUAUUUUAAUAUUUUAUUCAUCCUCUAAUUCGAUUUCUAUAAUUUUUGGUGAUUUUUCAAAGUUAGACUACUGCUGCUGUCCAAAACUGUUUUAGUGCAAAAUGUUGAUUUCCAUUGUGCCCCAAAUUUCAUAGUUCAUACAAUUCAAUCCUUGCUCAAUUAACCCCUCAAUUGAGCUAAAUUUUAUCAUUUAAUACUUUAUUUUAUCAUUUUAAACUACUUCAUAACCCUUGAAAACCAAAACUUUAGCACUAGACCUUAAUUCCAAACUCUUUCACAAUUAGGUCCUAAAACUAAUUUCCAUCAAAUUUACUUGAUAAAAUCAUCAUAUAUCAAAAUUAAAGCUUCAAUUAUAUGUUUAUUCAUCAUAUUCUUCCAACACUCAUCCAUAUAAACUUAAAAAAUUAGCCAUGGACUCAAAAACUAAUGACAUAGUAAGUUGGACCAAAUUGUAAAAGUCCAAAAUCUUAGAAAUUUCAAGGAGAAAGCAAGAAUUAAACUUACAUGAAGCUAGAGUAUGAAAACCAGCUUGAACCCUCUUCCAUGGCUAUUUUUCAGCUGAUGAAAAUAAAGAAAAAUGAAGAGAAUUCUAGAUAUUCCAAUUUAGUCCCAUUUUUAUUUAGCUAAUUUUGGCAAUUUUCCAAUUUUGCCCUUCUUUCACCCGUUUCCUGAUUUUUCUCAACUAUUGCCGCCCAAAAUAUCUCCUUUGGGCUUAUUUUCACUUUAGGUCCUUCCUCAUUUGACAAUUGGGCUAUUUAAUUCUUUUAGCAACUUUUACACCUUUUUUAAUUUAGUCUUUUUUAUUUAAUUAACCACGCAUACGUCAAAAUUUUCUGACGAAAUUUUAAUACUACCUCACUAAGACUCCAUAAAUAUUUCUAAAAAUAUUUAUGGCUCGGUUUAUGAAUUCGAGGUCUCGAUACCUCAUUCUCGACCCAAUUUACCUAAUUAAUUCUUUUAAAUCACCAAAUUCACUAAUUCAAAAAUACUUCUAUAUUCACAUUUGACUCAUAGGCAUUAAUUUAUUAAAUUUUCAACUCACUCGUCAGAUUUAGUGAUCUAAAAUCUCUAUUCCCGACACCACUGAAAAUUAAGCUGUUACAACGUAUUAUAUUUUUAAAAAAUAUUUAUUUAAUUUUAUUUUAAUGUUAAUAUUUUUUUAUUGAAAAUUUUUACAUAGUCAUCUUAAUAUUAUUUUAAUAUUUAUAUUAGAGUAGUAUUAUAUAUUUAGUAUAGGGUUGUUUUUUUAAUGUGUUACAAAUUAUAUAAUAUAAAGUGUUACAAAUUAUAUAAUAAAACGGGUCGUGUAACAGCCCGAUUUUCAGUGGUGUCGUAAAUAGUAGUUUGAGGCCACCAAAUUCGGCAAGUAAGCUCGUAAAUUUUAUUAUUUAAUUUUACGAGUCAAAUAUUGUUUUAAAAAAGAAUUUUGAAUAAGUAAUUUAUGUUUUAUAAUGAAUUAUUUGGUUCGAGUGGUAAAAUCUUAGGUCAAGUGGUUUUAGAAAAUAAUGUAUCGAGACUUUGUUUUUAUAAACCGAAACGUAAAUAUUUUUAUAUAAAUUUACGAAGUGUCAAUAAGGUGGUUUAAAGUUUCGUUAAGAAAUUUUAACGUUUCGAUGCUUAAUUGAUUAAAGAGGACCAAAUUGAAAAAAAAAAGUCCAUUCCCGAGACUCCCUUCUGGUAAAUCGGAUUCGUAAAUAUUUUUAAUAAAUAUUGACAAAGUUGCGAGUUUAAUUAAGUUUUAGUUAGGUAAAUUAGGUUAAAAUAAGAGAAAUUAGGAAAAAGAACUAAAUUGCAAUAGAGUAAAAGUUUGAUUAUAAAUUAUAGAAAAACUAAAUGGGCUAAAGAGGAAAUUAUGCCUUUUUAUAAAGGUGUGGCGGUUUAUAAGAGAAAUAUCGAAGAUAUUUCUAAUUAAAAUAUAUAUUAUAUUAUAUUAACUUAAUAAAUAAGUAAUUAUAUUAUAUUGUUAUAUAAACAAAUAAAAGAAAGGAAACAAAAGGAAAAUUGAAAUGAAAACAGAGAAGAAACAGGGGAGAAAGAAAGAAAGAAAAAAAGAAAAAAGUAAAUUUGGGGUUGAAGGUUCAAAGUUAAUUUGGUAAGUCAAUUUAAUUCUUUUUCUUGUAAUUUUUGGGUUUUUAGAAACUUAGAACAAUAUAUUAUUGAAUUUAUGUUAAAAAUUUGAAAGUUUGUGGAUUUUUGGAUAUAGUUUAUGUUGAAUUAAUUAAUGAAUUUGGGGUUAAAUUGAUAGAAUUUCAAGUUAGAAUUGGGAGUUAGAAUUGAGAAAAGGAUUUAAUUGUAAAAUAAGUUAUAACUUUUGUUUAACAGGGAAUAAAUUGAGAGAAUUUUGAAAUUAGGGUUUUAUGGAGAAAGGAAAUAAGGAUGUUAUAAAAUUGGUAAUUAAUAUUUUGCAGUAAAACAGUUUUGGACAGCAGCAGUAGGUCAACUUUGAAAAAUAACCAAAAAAUGUGAAAAUCGAAUUAGAGGAUGAAUAAAAUAUAAAAUUAAAAAUUAUUGAGUCUAGUUUUUCAUAGAAGAAGCGGUAUAAGAAAUGGAAUUUUAAAUUAUGAGUUAUAAUAAGUUUUGUUAGACAAGGUCAAAAUGAUUUCGGAAUCCCCUGUUCUGACUUUGGAAAAUCAUCAACAAAUUGUAAAAAAAUAAUAAGGGGCUUAAAUUUAUAUUUUCAAAUCCUUAAUGAGUCUAUUUUCAAUAGAAAUAAAUGGAAACAUCAUCCAAAUUUCAUACUAAGAGAUAAAUAAUUUUUAAUAAGAAAAGGUCGAAGCUGUUAAACAGCAGAAUAGGGUAAGUUUGAAGAUUUUACUGUACUUAUUGGCUAAACCAUAAAUUCUGAAAAUUUUAUGGUAGAAAUAUAUUUGAGUCUAGUUUCAAAAACAUCAAGCGGAUCUUAAUUUGAAAUUCUGUAACUCAAUAUAUAAAUAAUUUAGUGAUAAUGACUCAGGUAGACAGAAGAACAUAUAAGUAAAUAGUGGAACUAUAUAUAUACAUUGAGGAUGUGGAAUGAAGAGGAAUAGUAGAAAAAUAUAUGAACAUUUAACUAACGUGGGUUACAUUAAAAAUGGAUAAUUUUCAAGUUUUACGCUCAAGGAUUAAAUUUAAUAAAAGUAAAACUUUAGCGGUAAUUUUGUAAAAAUGUAAAAAAUGAACAAAUUACAUGAAAUGAAUCAUUUUAUUGUCUAAAUUAAUAUAUUGAAAGAAAUUAUCAAUAUCAAGUGAGUUUAGAGCUUUAAUUUUGUUGUAUAAUGAUAUUAUAAAGUGAUUUUGUUAAAUAUUGAUGUUAGGAUCAAAUUGUGAAAAUUAUGAAAAUUAUGGAUUUAUGUGAAAAUAGGGAGUUGAAUUUAGUUUAAAGUGAAAUUUGCAUAAAAAUAAAUAAUUAAAUGUGAAAAAUAAAAGUUAGUCUCGGUUUAGGGACUAAAUUGGAAUUUAGACAAAUGUUGAGUAAAAAGUUGAAAUAUUUAAUAUGAGAUUGAAUUGUAUUGUAUUGAUAAAUUUAAUUGUUUUAAUUCCAUAGCUAACGUCGUACCGAAAUUCUUGACUAAAAAGGGAAGAAUAAAAUCGACAUCGAAUAGCUCGGAAUUUCUGAUUUGUAUUUCUAUAAUCCGAAUCUAAUUAUUAAUUGUUGUAUUUUGAUUAAAUGUUAUGAUAAGUGAUUAAGGUGAGAAUUAUUGUGUUUUAUAAUUGAAAUGGAUUGAUUUGGCAUGUGAUGAAUUUAUAUUGGUUGAAUUAAAUUGGAAUAUAUAUAUAUUAUGGAUAUAUAUGUGUAAAUGUGAUAUUGUGCAAAUGUGAUAAUUGGAUUACUUUUGAUGUGUAUGAAAUUCAGCUUUAAUACCCAAGUAGACGGAAUUUAGAACUAUUAGGAUAUAGUGGCAUGCCAUUAAGGAACCCUAGCGCGCUCUCUGAUUAUUAGCAUGUUAGUGCUCUUUGAUUAGCACAGCACAUCUGUGCUCUCUGUUUAAUAGUGCAUAAUAAUGCACCUCUGUGUUUGUUCCGUAUAUCUGGCUUUAAGAUAAUUUAUUUCAUACAAAUAAGAAAUUUUAUUAACAGAAUAAGACCUAUAAGGAAAACAAGGUAAUGAAAUAGAUGUUGGAGAAGUAAAGGGUCUUAUGAGCUAAUUAUCGGGCAUAAUGAAGGAUAUUCUCUCUUUAGAUUAUAUGGUCGAGGCAUAACUUAUGAGUUUUAAGCAAGUUGAACCUGGCUCGGAUACCAAAUAAUGGUGAACAAAAUCUAAUUCCUGCUAUAUGUAUGUUACAACCCUCUGAAAAAACAUCAUAUGACAAAGAUUUUCCACCCCUUAAUGAAUACAUUGAGAAAAAUUGCACCCAUGCACCAAAAAUUCCUUCAAAAAUCCAAACAGACAUUUCUGGUACACCUGCAAAGAUAAGUGCUGCAGAAGCCACUCUCAAUUGGCAGACUGAAAAUGCCUUAGCUCAGAAUCAUGCUCUAAAGAAGAUUGAUUCAAAGAUUUCAGCAGUUGAAGCUAAUGUAGAUGACAAUACAAAGAUGGUGAAUGUAACACCCUUAACCCGUACCCGUCGCCGGAGGGUUAAGGAGUAAUACCAAACAAGCACGAAAUUUCAUUUAACUUUAUUCCGAUAAUUCCCGUUGGCAUACUUAUAGAACCGAAUUCCAACUUGUAUUUAUUUUAUUUUAUUUUAUUUUAUAUAUACCAUAUACAAAAGAGUCAUCUCAAGUUAAUAAGUACAUUGAUUCAUUCUUAAGUUUAAUUCACAUCAAAACAUGGAAAACAUUAAUCGAAUAUCAACCACACAUUCACAUUAAUUAUGUGGAACACAUAUAGUAACUUAACAAGCCAUUUUCGCAUGGCUAUACAUAUAUACAUCAUCAAAAAGAUACUUAUUUAACAACAAAAAGUCAAACCUAUACAUGCCAUUAUUAAAGUUCAGCUACUAGAGUACCGAAUGGGUUAAGAUAGUGUGGAUGACUUCAACUUUGGGAUUCCCGAAACCGAAGCUAACAAGCGAGAUCUAUAAAACAGAGAAUUAAGGGCAACAGAGUAAGCAUUUCUAUGCUUAGUAAGCUUUAAGCAAAUACAAACAAUUAAAACUUGUCAUUUAAACGAGCAUUUAGUAUCACAAAAAUAAUAUUCUAAUUAGUUAUCACUUGGCCGAGUAUAUGUGUAUAAAUCCAUGAAUACACAAAGAAAUUUCAGCAUGUACUUUACUUUACUUCAUAGCUCAUACAAUUUCUUUUUUUAAGUCACAGACUUUCAUAUAAUGUCAGACAUUGACCGAAUAAAUCAUGCUCUUAGUCGUAGAUAUAGUAAUCAUUCACACGCAUAUAUCGUUCCUUGAUACUAAUAAAUCACCUUAAAAAUCUAUUCACAUGUGAGUACAUGAUGCGUACCUGGCUAUCAUGAGAUAUCAUACAUAAUCACUUGUAGUUUAACUCGAACCUUCAAAUUCAUAAUUUUACUUAAAUCACCGGCGUUAAGCCUGCUAGGUUUAAAACCUGAGUCCAGUCACUAGCACAAAGCCUUCGGGACUUUAAGCCCAGAUAUAUUCCCAGCACGUAGCCUACGGACCUUAAGUCCGGAUAUAAUUCCUGCAUAUAGCCUGCGAACUUUAAGUCCAGAUAUAAUUCUCAAAUAUCAUGCAUGUUUAAUUGUAUAAUAAUACCUCAUCCAACAUAUCACAUUAGUAGUCAUUUCCACAUUCAGAAUUAAGCUCUAUAUGAACACUAUCAUUUACAUUACAGUUCAAACAUCAUAGAUAAAUCUCACAUGUCCAUUUCACCAUUCAAACUUACCCUAUAGUGACCAUUCAUUUAUAAUACAUAUAAAUAGGUUAUUUAUCAUACUACUUAAUUCAAGUAAAACCAAAAGAUCCCAAUCCAUCCAAUUUACAUGUAUCAAGGCAUCAUCUAGUAUAUACUAAAGGUGACUACUCAAAACUUACCUCGGAUAUACUUGAACGGUUGCGAAAUGGCUACUCGAUUACUUUCUCUUUUCCCUUAUCCGAAAUUGUCCCCCUACGCUCUUGAGCUUUAAUUCAACAAAUUUUAAACUAGUCAUUAUUCGACUAUUCAAGUAUUACUUUCAGAAUAUAAUACAUAUAUAUUCGACUUUCACAUAUACAGAUUAUAGUAAGCUUAUAAGAAAUCAAUAAGCAAUUCAUUAGCAAAUUUUUUUAUCAAUGUUUACAAAAUAAUCACAAUUUCACUAUAAGCUGACUUCCUGAACAACAGUCACUAAAUUAUUUAUAACUGGAGCUACGAAACUCCAAAUCAAUUGCCGUAAAUUUUAUUUGAAAGUAUACUCAUUUAUAUUUUAUCCAUAAAAUUUUUGUAAUUUUUAGUUUAGCCAAUCAAUACCAGAUUUUUCCUAAAUUUUCCCUUGUUUCACUGUUUGACUAAUCUAACCACUCUUUACUACAAAAUAAAUUUAUCAUUGUACAGAAUUCAAAACGUGUUCUUGUUUAUUUCAUUUGAAACUAGACUCAGUAAGGAGUCUAAGAAUAUAAAUUUUAUCAUAUGAUCAUUUUUAUACAUUUUAUACUGAUUUUAUAAAAACAGAACAGGGGAUCUAGAAGUCAUUUUGACUCUGUCCCACAUUACUUCAAAUAUCUCAUUAUUGGAAAUUCUUUUGCUUUUACAGUUUCUUUUAUAAGAAACUAGACUCAUCAAGCUUUAAUUACAUAAUUUAUUCAGCUUCUAACUCAACUUCCACAAUUUAUGGUGAUUUUCUAAAGUCACGUUACUGCUGCUGUCCCAAGCAGAUUAUUACCAAUUCACUCUUUCACACAUUCUUUGCAUACAUAUUAUUUAAACAUCUAUAUCACCAAUCAAUUUCAUCAUAUAUAUCUAUAAUUUCACUUAAGCAUAAUCUCAAUACAACAUAUUGUGCUCAAAUCAUUAUUCAAGUUCAAAUUCGGCUAACACACAUAUAAACACUAGCAACUAAAUAUUAACAUUUGCAUUUCACCAUAAUAACUAAUUUAGUAAACCUUAAUUUAACAUAUAAUUGUUCAUAACACAUUUAAAGCAUCCACUCCAUUCCAUCAAUUCAAAACACAUACAUUACUCAAUAUUAACCUAGCUCAUAUUCGGCCAUAGUACACAACAUGUUAGCCGAUUUUUCCCCUUUAGCAACUAAUGCACAUAUAUGCUCAUUUGUUAGACUCUACUGCACCUAUCUACAAAUUUUUCAUCCAAAAUAACAUGAAACAACAACCAUUUCCUUGAACACAUUCCUUAGCCGAAUACCCAUGUUACCAACAAAUUCAAAAUUUUGACAUGGCUAACUAAGGGACUUAGUAACUAGCUUAAUAUAUGCAACAAUUUCAAAAACUAUCAUGAAUUACAUACCUUAUUUCAAGCUCAAAGUGACCAAAUGCUAUUUCCUCCUUUUCUUUCUCUACCAUUCGGCUCCUAAGGAAGAAGAUGAUACAAGUCUUUUUGGUUAUCCUUUGUUUUUCUAAUAUCUUUUUAAUUUACUCAUUUUUUUAUUCCAUAAAUUAAGCCAUUUCCAUUUUACAAUAUUAUUUCAUAAUACAUAUUGCUUAUCAUCAUUAUCAUGGCCGGCCACUACUACUAAAGUGGGGAAUUUGACAUGCAAACCCACUAAUAUACAUCAUUAAUUAAUUGGCCACUACUAAAUUAGCCUAUAAUAUUUUCACAAUUUUUCAAAUAAGUCCUUUUUAAAUAAUUUCACUCACAAAUAGCAAUAUUAAAGCAUGAAAUUUUCAUACAUACACCUUCACAUAUAAUAAGCACAGAAUAUAGCAUUUAAUUAUUAUUUUGACUCGGUUUUAUGGUCCCUAAAUCACUUUCCGAUUAGGGUCAAAUUAGGGCUGUCACAGUGAAUGAUCAUAUCAAUUUGUUACAAAAGAGAUUAAAUGAUGUGGCAAAAGAAUGAGCAGCACCGGGCCAAGAUUUCUUUUAUCAUCUGGCAUAAAGAGAAAAAGAAAUUCAAAAUCUCAAGGAACAGAUCAAGGCACUCCAGAAAAUUGGGAAAAUUCUAGCACCAUCCCCAAUAUCAGAAACAAUUGAAUUAUUUCCUUUGAUCAGACAAAGGAACACCCUUCUAGUAGAAGGAGUUCAUAUCUCUUUUCUUAAAUUUUCACAAAGAACUAAACCAAGCACUUAUGAAGUGUUUCUGGAAAUUAAAAAACAAGAAGCAAAAAAAAAAAGAGUAAAAUGAAGCUGGAAAAACUGAGGCAGCAAAAAAGGAAGAAGCUCAUCAAGAAGAAAUUAAACUUGGCAAAAAACCAAUUGUGGACAAGUCACCUCCAAGAUCGCCUCCUCCAAAGCAAGCUUCAAAAUCCCUGAUGAUUCAACAAGAUCAAAAUCUUUUAACAAAAAUUUUUAAAGAUUAUAAUGAAGCCAUGAUUCUAAAAAUCUCAGCUUUACAACUUCAAUAUCAACAAUUAGAUUCUGAUACAGAUUAUUCAGAUUCCAAUUCAUCAUCAGAACCAGUAUCAGAAAAUCAAUCAGAAGAAGAGAAUCUUUCAAAGGUAUUACAAACUCAUCCAAAGGUAGAACAAUCAGAUGAUGAAGAGAUGCAAGAAGUACCAGACUCAUCUUCUUCACAACAACGUUCUACACAAAAACCCUCUAUUGGAAGAAUCAUUUUUACUCUUGAUGAUAUUCCACAAGGAAAAUGGCCAGAUAGGAUUCAAAAGUUCCAUUCUUGGCUUGAAACUCGCAAGCUCACUGAAGAUAGUAAUUACAACAUUCUCAUGGAGUUUGUUUCCAGAUUUAUGAGUAUGGUGCGAGAUUGGUGGAAUUUAAUUAGUCAACAUGAUCAAAUGCAAUUCUUGGUUCUUCAGGAUCUUGCUCAGCCAAUAUGAAUUAUCCAUCAUCACUUUGUGGGCAAUUGAGAUGAUAUUUUUACUCAAGAGAAGGGAAUUCCACAAGAGAAAAUGCUAUUCAUAUGACAGGAGAGAUCUAGCAAGGCACUUCAAAAUAAUGACUAAUUUAUUUUUGUGCCUUAAGUCUCAAUUCAAAUUUGAAGCCAGUAAUUUUCUCAUCCAUUCCAGAUCCUUUACAAGUUGAGUUAAUCAGGCUCUCCAAAGGCAAAAUAAAGAUAUUCUCUAAUUAACAAUUGGAGAAAUUCAGCAAGAAGUCUUUAUUGCCUUAGAAGACAUUUGUAACAGAAGAAAGAUAUUCAAGGAUUAUCUCCAUUGUGAUAAAAGAAUUGAUUGAGCAUGUGAUGAAUCCCACUUGAAGUAUAAGUGCCCAAGAGAUAAGAUAUGUGGCUGUCGUUCAAAGAAAAAGAGACAUUUCAAAAAAUAUUAUUUUCCAAAGAACACAAAAUGGAAAAGAAGAAAGAAGCCUCAAUGGAGAUAUCUCAGGAAAAAACGGAGAUCAACAAUAAAGUCUAACUGAUGCUACAUCUGCAAUAAAAAAGGACACUUCUCAAAAAAUUGUCCAAAGAACAAAAAAGGAGCAAAAAAGAUUGCACAGAUGGUUCAACAAACAAGAAUCAAAAUCCAAAAGGAAGAUGAUAUAGAAUCUGUCUAUUCUAUUGAAGAUGCCUGUUUGAAUGACCGAGAAGCAUGGUCUGUGUUUUUGUCAUAGCACACCUGCUACAAGUUCUUCUUUGUUGAAUCCCAUCCAAUAUCUUCACCAUUAUAUCACUUCCAUUACAUAAAAAAAAAAUACAACAUUAUGUAUAAUUAUUUAAGAAUCUAACAUUCUAUUUCAUUGCAAAAAUUUGACCCACCAUAUUAAAAAAUUUAUUAAUUUAUUAAUGUAUUUUUAAUAUAAUUAGUAAUUAUUAUUGUUAUUUUAAUUUUUUAUUUAAUUCAUUAUUAGUAAAAUUUUUAAACAUGUUUUGGAAACAUAUGUUAAAAAUUAGUUUAAAAAUAAAUAUUAUAAAAUUAAUGAUUUUGCAUAAUUAAAAAUUUUGAAAUUUUAUUAUUAGGGGAUAAGAUAAGCUUGGUUGUGUCACGUGAGACGUGGGCAUAUUGAAAACCUAAAAAAUAUAUUUUAUAAAAAUAUAAAAAUUAAUUAGUCGUACACGUGGCGCCCGUUUGAUAAAUAUAACGUCAAUGAUUACUUGGCGGGAACAUAAGUAGCUUCUCUGACGGGACCUGGAGCCUAUGGAUAAACGGCAUGUGGGAAUUAAAUAGUAAUUUGUUUGUGUAUAUUCAUCGAUGGUCCACACGCCUUUACCUACUGUUGGUGGGCUCCUCGUCAAAUCUUUUUUGCCGACACUGAUUAACGUUUAAUUAAACUCAGUAAUUACAUGAUAUUUUAAAAGAAAUUAAAAUACUGAAUAUUUUAAAUUAUAAAUAUAAUUAUACAAAUGAUUAUAUAUUUAUUUUUUAAAAACAUUUACCAUAAGCAUGUAAAGUUUGCUAAAUAUUAUUUUAAAAUUUUUUUAUGUAAUAAAAGGUCAACAUAAAUUAUGUUCUAUUUUUAUCAAAUAAAUUCAUUUACAUUUUAACAUAUAUGAGAUUAAAAAUAUAACAAUUUAUGUUUUAAAAAAGAAAAGUAAAAUGAUUUAGUGUAACUUUUUUUAUUUAUCAUCAAAUAAUUAUAUUUAAUGAAAGGUUUUUAAUCAAAUUUAAUUUUUUAUUAUGAAUUUGUUAAAUAUUAAUAAUAAAAAUUAAUUUUUAAAUAUUUACAUCCAAAUAACUAAUCAGAACUAAAAUUAUAAAUCACAAUUAUAUUGAUAAUUAAAAUAUAUUUAAAAUUAAAUUAAAUUAAAUCUGAAAAUCUAACCAUGAGGAGAUUCUUUUCAUAGCCAUAAUUAGUAGAAUAACUAAUUUUCAUUGGUUAAAUUUCAUCAACCACUUAAUUAACAAUAUAUUUAAUAUUUUUUUAUCGAUUAAGCUUUAAUUCAAUUAAUAUUAUUAUUGUUGUAACAUGUAAAAACAUAUAAUCAUUUUUUUAUAUUUGAAUUAUUGUCAGGAGCUAUGGAACAAACUAUUUUAGUAUUAUAAAUAUAUAUAAAUUGUGUUGAUGAAAUUGUUUUAACAAAAUAAUAAUUUGAAAAAUAAUAAGAAAUAAAUAAAUAGUAACAAUCACAACUACUACAUGAUAUAUAUUGGAGGUGCUCAUGGUCAGGUCGAGUCGAGCCAGACCUAAGCAUGAUAUUAAUAUACUUUAUGCUUAUCCAAGUCCCACCCGAAAAAUAGGCUUAAAAUUUUGCCCAAACCUGUCUAUAUUUGCAAAAGAUUAAUCAAAACUCAUUUUAGGCUUGUCCAUAUUAUAUUUUUAAAAAAUAUUUAUAUUAUAUUAUUUUAAUGUUAAUAUUUUUUUAUUGAAAUUUUUUACAUAGUAAUCUUAACAUUAUUUUAAUAUUUACAUUAGAAUAGUAUUAUAUAUUUAGUAUAGGGUUAUUUUUUUAAUGUGUUACAGAUUAUAUAAUAUAAAGUAUUACAAACUUAAAAACGGGUUAAGCUUGACUCAAGUCUUGAAUAUUCAAACCCGAAUCUAACUCAUAUUUUAAACAGGCCUAAUUUUUUCACCCGAACUCGUUUUUUGGACUUACAAUUUUUGCUCAAAACUUCUCAAAUUUCAGGCGGGCCUGGGUGAGUUUCCCGACCCAUUAACAUAUCUAAUAUAUACUAAGGAUUAUAAAAUAUAAUAUCCUUGAUUUUUUUUAGUAAAUAAAACUUUUUAUAUUAGUAUAUAAUUUAAUAAUAAUAAUUGUUGUGUCUUGUUGAUUUUUUUAAUACUUUUUACAUGAUUUAUUUUUGUGUAUAUAAAUUAAUAUAUAAUAUAAUUCUCUAAUUUUUUUUUGCUUGACGUAAACUACCAAAACGAAUCAUGUAUUGUUGUGUACUUUAGAUCUUACUUUCUUUUUUUCAACUAUGCCUCCUUUUUCGACAUAAAAUCAAAGGUUGGUAUAUUAUUGCCAAAUAUAUUUGGAUUAUUUGAUGCAUAGUAUAUAAAAUAAAAUAUUAUUAAUAAAUUGGAAAAAAAUUAUGUUAAUAAAAAUGAAUUUAAUUUUGAAUUCUUUUAUAUUCUUUAUUCGAUUUUUUAUUAGUGGAUAUAAUUAGUAUGUCAAAUAUAUCGCUUAAUAAUAGGUCGAACUACUUAUUGAAUCUUAAAAGUUCGUUUGAUAUUUGAGAAUAUUUGAAAAAUAAUAUCAGGCCUAAAAAUGAGAUUAAAUAAAAAAUUUUACUUAAAAUAAAAGUCGGACUUAAGACUCUAAUAUUCAAUGCGUGAACCUGUUAUGUAAUAUUAAUUUUUAUCAUAUGAAAAAUUGAAUAUAUUGUACUAUAAUGUAAAAAAUAAUAAAAAUAUGUUGAGUGGUUUAUAAUUUUGAAAUUUAAUUAAAAGUCAACUUUGCAUUUACUCAAUUAGAAACGACUAAAAAAUUAUUUUUUUUUACAAAGUAAACUAUAUUUAUUAUGAAAGUAUUUUUAUCUUUUUAUAUCAUUAUAUAAAGUAACUAAAUACUUAAAAUUGAUUAAAUAUUUAAACAAUUUAAUUAUUUUUAUUUAAAAUUUUAAUAAAUAUAUUAAUUACAUAAUUUUACCCAUAUCAUCGUUUAUAAGUACUAAAUAUUAAAUAAAAAAUACUUUUUAAAUAAAUUUAAAAAUAUGAAUACACUUAAACAAGUUUGGAUUAACUAUUUAAGUAUUCAGACAAAUUUGGAUAAUUUUUAAAACUUAUAUAUCGAGUCAAGUUGAACUUGAAUAACUAUGUAAACUAGUAAUUUGAUACAUUAGGUUAGGUAUGAAGCAACAUUUAAUCUAUAAACUUAACAACUUUUCUUACAUUGGUUCCCGAACUUUUUUAAAUCCACAUUAGUCCUAAACUUUGCAGUUUUUUUUUUAUUUCGGCCAUAAAUUUGGAUCCUAUUAAAAUAUAAUGAUGUGGCACUUUAAGAAAGUAACACAUUAUCACAUGAAAAAAAUUAAAAUAUUUAUUAAAAAUCUAAAAAUAUAUAUAUAUGAGAAGUUAAUAAUUGUUUUAAAAGAAUAGAUGAUGUUGUGAUGCAACUUCAAAAUGCUACAUCAUCAUAGUUUAAUAGAACCCAAGUUUAGGGGCUAACUUGGGAAAAACCGACAAAGAUUAAGAUAAUAUAAAUAAAUAAAAAGUUCAAGGAGUAAGGAAAAAUUAUCAAAUUGAGAAACUAAAUAUUACUUUAUCCCUUUAUAAAACAAAUUAUUUUAAACGAACUCAUGGUCGAACUAAUCGGCCACAAGUUCACUAGUCCAAUUAAAAAAUAUUAAAAGUUUUAAAAAAAAUUAAUUUAAUCGAUUCAUACCAACUCUCAAUCUAAUCGAUUUGAAACUAUUUUUGAAACAAAUAACUUAAUUAAUUUUCAGUCAGAACCGAUUCAAAUAUCUUUACAUUAAAUUAACCUAACUUGACUCCACUCGACCCAUAAAUAUUAAUUCUACAUUUUAAGAAUAAAUAAACAAAAUCCCAAAGCUACUUUCUUUUUAAAUGAAGUCUCACUUCCAUCAUUUCUUUUGUGGGCUCUUCAUAAAAGCCGAUUCUUUCUUCUUGAAUCCUCCAUAUAAAUUUAGUGGCCCAUAUAUUUUCCCGAGAUAUUAAAAAAAUAAAAAUCUUCUUCUUCCUCUUUGCAGCUAAAUCAUAUUCCGCAUAUUAUGUUAGCCCUUCAAAGCUCCGUCAACAAUGGCGAAAACGAUCCAAACCACGACCAACAUCACGAUCACGACGAUCAAGACGGUGAACGUAUCAGAGACAUCCAUGCUUUAACCCCACCACACCCUCCCGUCGUCAACGCCCGUCGUCGUUGGGAAACCAGAAGCAGCCGUGCAUCGUCAUCGAGCGAAGUAGCUCCGAGUGAAAACUUCACCACCAUAAGCCGAGAAUUCAAUGCUCUGGUCCUCGCCGGAUCUUCUAUAGAAAACAACGAUUCCGAUUCCGUACAUACUUUGAAUAACAAUCAGUUGACCAGGAUCGGUGAAGAUCAUGAACUGCAAGAGGAAACUAACCGUUUAGCUAUAGUACCCGAUAAUGGUCCGUACGAUCGAGAAUCGGAUCAGCCAAGAAGGGUAGGGUCGGGUGGGUUAGAAACAGCAACGACUGCGGCGGCGGCGAGUGGUGGUAGUAGCGGCGGACAUGGGGAAGUCACGGUGCUGAGAGUGAAGAAAGAGGAGGUGGAAUCGAAAAUAUGUGCUUGGCAAAACGCGAAGAUUGCAAAGAUUAAUAAUAGGUUCAAGAGAGAAGAUGCUAUAAUUAAAGGGUGGGAAAGUGAACAAGUACAAAAGGCUAGUUCUUGGAUGAAGAAAGUAGAGGUAUGUUUGGAUACUGAGAAUUUUUUUUUCUCAUCAUAUUUUCUCAUGAAAAUUUCUUUUAUCAAGGACUAAUUCAAAAUAAAUGAUAAUUUUAUGAGUUAGCAAAAAAAGAAAACCUUGCUAAGCUAGAAAAAAAUUGUAAGGGAAAGAUUAGAAUAGAACUAUAAUUUCUUUUCAAAGUUCAUAUUUUUGAAGAAAUUAAAUAGAAUUUUUUUAAUUUUUAGGAUGAAAAUGUAAUUUUAAUAUAUAUUAAUCAAACCAGUAUCUUUUCAUUUUAAGAGAGAAAAACAAAACUUAACAGAUUCUAUUUUUCAAAGUUCAUAUUUUUGAAGAAAUUAAAUAGAAUUUCUUUUUCAUUUUUAAGAUGAAAAUGUAAUAUAAUUAGCGUGAUUUAAACUUAAGUCACACUUGAAACAGUGAAUACAUUAAUCAUAGAACUAAAAUCUUAAAUUUAAGUUUUUAAUUGAUACCAAUUUUAAAUUUAACUGAAUUAAUGAUUUGAUGUAGUCUAAAUAAUUUUAUUGAGGAAAUUAUUGAGUAUUAAUUGAUGAUUCAAUUGACCAAGGUUCUUAGUUGCAUGGUAGGGAAUUUUCAUGGUAGUUUAAUAACAAAACUAUCUUCAUGUAAUAAUUAUCAUAUGUUAUUGAUUUUUUUAGUCAAAUUCUUAAUCAAGUCCCUAUGCUUUGUUUUUCUUAAAUUAUUAGUGGGAUAUCAUGAAUCAUGAUAAUGGUGGUAGUGGGUUUUUUUUUCCUUUGUCCUUACUUUAGGAGAUUUGCAACUUUAUUAGUGGAUAAAUUUAAAAGAGUACAUCAUUUAACAAUUUUCUCUCAUAAAAAAUAAGAAUAAAAAUCUAUCAUUAGCUUAGUUUGGAUUUAUCAAUUCGAGUUUAUUUUUAUCAAAUUAUGAACUAUUUUUAGUUAUAAGGCUCGAAUUUAAGAUUUUACUUAAAGAGUUAUUCUUUUUAUGGUACCUUAGUGGUUUUUUUCUUUUUGGGUUAUUUAAUUAUAAGUAUUUUUUUUUUGUUCACCAAACAAUAAAAAAUUACAAAAUGGUCAGCUAUUUAAUUUUGUCUUUUUUAUCACUCAAUUAUCUUUUAUUUUUAGGUGUUUUCACUUUUACAUUAACUAGAUAAUGACCAAAAAAGACAAAUAAGUAGUUGGAUGAUCAUUUAUAAAUUUUCAAAGUUGGGUGACCAAAAUAGAAAAAAAAAUUGUUGGGUGACAACAUAGUUUGAUGAACAUUUUCUAACAUUUUAUAGUCUAUAAAGGAGAAAAAAAAAAACCAUAGUUGAGAAUGUACUUUACCAUUCUUUUUAGCACUUAAUGGGAAGCCGAGGGGUAGGGAGGGUAGUAUGCAGCCUUGAUGAAAUGGUAAAAUUCAUCUUUAACCCCUCCAAAGUAUUAGUUGUUCAAUUUCAUCUCUUUUGUUCUCCUUAAUAUAUGAAAACUGCAAAUUUAACCCCUUUCAAAAGCUAAAAAUUCAAUGCAACUCAUUUUAAUACAAAAUUUUUUACUUUGGUUCCUGAAUAUUUUGAUUUUAUCUCAACUUCAGUGCACAAUUCCUAGUUUCGCUCGUGCAUUUAACAGGAUUAUACAUAUAUGAUAUUAACAUUGUAUAUACAUGCAUUCAUUCAUAGUAGUUUUACAUCAUUAUUUUGUAAUGGGAUUUUGAGUAACAGUCCCAAUAUGCAUAUGUGUGUAUAUAUAUAUACACAAAUGUGAAUCGGAUUUAUUUUCUCUAUAUAUUUGUAUAAGUAGAGGAAGCUAGAGGAGAAAAGAGCAAAAGCCCUAGAAAAGAUGCAAAACGACGUCGCAAAAGCACACAGAAAAGCAGAAGAAAGAAGGGCAUCAGCUGAGUCCAAGAGAGGGACCAAAGUUGCAAAAAUCCUUGAAAUUGCCAAUUUAAUGAGAGCUGUUGGGAGACCACCUGCUAAACGGUCCUUCUUUUAAAAAAAAAAACAACACUUUAAUCUUCCCUUCAUAUAAUUCCCAUUAUAUAUGCAUACAUAUAUACACAUACACAUACAUAUAUAUAUGAAUGCAUGUGAGUACCUUCAUCUUUUCAAUUGUAGGGUACCCCUUUUAUGUAAGAGGGCAUGCAAUCGAGAGUUGC